rnacentral:tRNA from 1 species
CACUAGAAAGCUAAAUCGGGCCUAGCGUCAGCCUUUUAAGCUGAAGAUUGGUGGCCCCCAACCACCUCUAGUGA